rnacentral:ribozyme from 1 species
UCUGACACAACAAACCAACCAACCCACCAUACAGACAAAACCAACCACACACAUCACAUCACAGCUCUACACAUACCUCAUCCGCCAAAAUACCAUGCAAGCCCUUUUCGGCGAGAGAUAGAUCA